UAAUAAGUGUUUUAUGGCACUUUUUUAAAUCCAUAUCCACCUUGUGUGCAUGUCAGUCGAUCUUCUUCAUGGAGAUCGACCAAACAUCAACCUUUAUCUUUUAACUCUUUGUCUGAAAAAUAUUAUGAAUAAACAAUUCAAAAUA
rnacentral:misc_RNA from 1 species